GACGAACGCUGGCGGCGUGCUUAACACAUGCAAGUCGAGCGGUAAGGCCUUUCGGGGUACACGAGCGGCGAACGGGUGAGUAACACGUGGGUGAUCUGCCCUGCACUUCGGGAUAAGCCUGGGAAACUGGGUCUAAUACCGGAUAUGACCUCCUAUCGCAUGGUGGGUGGUGGAAAGAUUUAUCGGUGCAGGAUGGGCCCGCGGCCUAUCAGCUUGUUGGUGGGGUAAUGGCCUACCAAGGCGACGACGGGUAGCCGACCUGGGAGGGUGACCGGCCACACUGGGACUGAGACACGGCCCAGACUCCUACGGGAGGCAGCAGUGGGGAAUAUUGCACAAUGGGCGAAAGCCUGAUGCAGCGACGCCGCGUGAGGGAUGACGGCCUUCGGGUUGUAAACCUCUUUCAGCAGGGACGAAGCGCAAGUGACGGUACCUGCAGAAGAAGCACCGGCUAACUACGUG
rnacentral:rRNA from 1 species